AUGAAAAGAUACGAGAGAAGCGCGUGGAGCUCCGCAAAAGAAUGUCGGAGAUUGAGAAGGGGCAGUCAAGUUCUCAAAGGAAGGCAUGUUAUGCUAAAAGGAAAAACACCCCGUGCAAAGAAUCUCUCGCACUCCCACGUCCAGACGUUACUAACUCAACAUCUGAUAGUCUCGCAAUCCCCCUCUCUCGGGCUGCCGAUGAUGAUUCAUCGGAUGGCGACCCUCCCCCGGUCAUGCCAAAUUAUGGUGUUUGCACCAAUGAAGACAAUGAUGUGUUCCCAUAGCCCAUCAUGGGCGAUGAGCCGACACCAGCCAAAUUGA
rnacentral:rRNA from 1 species